AUCAGUAAUUUAUUUUUUCACCAAACAGAAAAAAACACUUCAUGCAAAUAAAUAUAAAAAAGGAAUUUAAAUACGGCAUUUCAGGGCGAAAGGAAUCGCGAAAAACCAAAACUGGUUAACGAGCAGCGACACCCGUGAAUUAAUUUAACAGAAAUAUAAACAGGAGAGAGAAAGAAGUCAAACAUUAUAUCAUGAGAAAAAAAAAGACAGCAAAAUUCAAACCAAAUACGUACAACACUCCGAGCACCGUCAGUAAUGUAACCAUGGAAACGACAUUUCAAAGAUAUGGCCACACAGAGUACGGUGCCGGUAACCAUGGACUUUGUUAAGUUCACCUUCAAAUAGAGAAUGAGGUUGAGGUGAGUAAGAGGUGGUGCUGGAGUCAUUACAAAGUCCAAGAAGAAUUGAGAAUUAAAUGCAAAAGCAAUCCAAUAAGUUAAAAAGCAAGAUAGCAUGAAUAACAGGUAAGAAAAUAUUUAAAAGAAAAAAACACACAAAUUCUUCCGGCAGGAUAAGAGUUAUUAUUAAGAUAGCUCACCAACCUACCUAGCGUAUGCAAUACAUAGCCAUACCGGUUUUAAAAAAUAAUAUUUGAUCAAUCAAAUAGAAGAUGAUUCAAAUAUUAAUCAACAGCAGCAAUAAAUGGAUUUUGAGUUUUUAGCUCCAUCUAUAUGUUCUUAUGAAGACUCUUAGUCUUACGAAAUAUAUUAUCUAUAAAAGCAAUUGGUACAUGGUUCAAAAAUGUGUAAGGCGAGUUAUACGGUUAUAUCAAUAUAUAAAAUAACAAUAAUUGAGAAAAUAGCAUACCAACAUUUGAUACGAAAACAUUAAAUAACAGAUUCAAAAACCCAACUACAACUGUUAGGAUCUGUGGAUCAGAUCGAGGAUUCGUGGCAAUAUCAAGACUGAAUGCUGACAACACAUCAACUCAAGGUCCUGGCAGGAGACAGAGUUUACUUUGUCUUGGAGCGUAUUCAAAUCUUUUGAACUGUCAAGCAAACAGGCGUCGUCAGCGAAAAGUUUGGUCAGGAAGUUGGAGGAGGACGACAGAUCAUUUAUUGCGACGAGGAAAGCAAGCGGUCCCAAUACAGAACCUUGAGGAAUUCCACAGUGGAUGGGGAGCAUCGCGGACCUAUUGGAAUCCACUUCGACAAAUUGUUGUCGACCGAACAGGUUCGCUAUAAUUUGGAAGACCUCUGAAGGUGACGUAGGUUCAAGAAAAAAUGAAUUUUGCAGGGGAGUACCCAAGAAGUCGGUAAAUGAGACUGAGCUUUGCGGGAGAUCAUCGGCAAGUUUCUUCCCUACCGUUGAAAAGAAUUUAUUGAAUUCACUAGCAAUCAGGACUGGGUCAGUCACAGUGGUUCGAUUUUUGAGCUUCAAUUCUGAGAUGGAGAUGGAAUUUUUGGAUUGUAUCUUAAUGAUGUCAUUGAUCGUUUUCCACGUGCGUUUAGCAUCACCUCGGUUGGUCUCAAGGACAUUGCGAUAAAACAGUUCUUUAGAUUUCCUUUGCAAAUGUACUAACAUAUUUCUAUACUUUUUGAAGUAGACACGCUGGGAUGUAUUGCCCCUUAAAAAUUUAUUUUCGAACAUAUUAUUUUUGUGUUUGAUGGACUUCCUAAUUCCCCUAGUGAUCCAGGGUUUGGAGUAAAGUUUGUUUUCUCUGCGUGAAAGGGGUCGUAAAGGCGCAUGUCUGUUAAUUAACCAUUUUAGGCGACCAAGGAAUGUAUCAAAAGAGUAAUUGAAAUUUUCUCUACAAAAGGUAACACCCACAUAGUUGCUACACAUUGACUCAACAUCGGAUCUAAAAGAAUCGUUACCAAAUUUAGACAUAUCGCGCUUCAUGCGAGUAUUGGUCUUGAUGCUUAUAUCUACACCUGAUAUUGUGCACAUUACAGGAAAAUGGUCGGUCAAGUCGCUUAU